rnacentral:lncRNA from 1 species
GCCUGUCACCAUUCCACCAGCCUCACAGCCUGCGGGUUAAGUGUAUAGACCCUGGAGCCCAAAUGCCUGGGUUCAAAUCCUGUGUGGCCUCGGGGUACAGGAAUACAGUGGGUGCUGCGGCGGAUGGCAGGAUGCAUGGAGUGAGACCCAGAGUGUCGAGAGAGGAAGGGGAGCCCGGAUGGAGAGGAAGAGACAACCCUUUAUCCUGGGAGGAAAGGACCUCUGAGCCAAGGUGGCAACAAGCAUUGGACCAUUGGAGCUACAGGGCAGAAAGAGGCAGGAACAGGGACCUGGUGGAAAGUUAAGCAAGAAAAUCCAAGCAGUAGGCCAGGCGCGGUGGCUCAUGCCUGUAAUCCCAGCACUUUAGGAGGCCGAG